AGUGAACGCUGGCGGUAGGCCUAACACAUGCAAGUCGAACGGCAGCACAGUAAGAGCUUGCUCUUACGGGUGGCGAGUGGCGGACGGGUGAGGAAUACAUCGGAAUCUACUUUUUCGUGGGGGAUAACGUAGGGAAACUUACGCUAAUACCGCAUACGACCUACGGGUGAAAGCAGGGGAUCUUCGGCCCUCGCGCGAUUGAAUGACCCGAUGUCGGAUUAGCUAGUUGGCGGGGUAAAGGCCCACCAAGGCGACGAUCCGUAGCUGGUCUGAGAGGAUGAUCAGCCACACUGGAACUGAGACACGGUCCAGACUCCUACGGGAGGCAGCAGUGGGGAAUAUUGGACAAUGGGCGCAAGCCUGAUCCAGCCAUACCGCGUGGGUGAAGAAGGCCUUCGGGUUGUAAAGCCCUUUUGUUGGGAAAGAAAAGCAGCAGGUUAAUACCCCGCUGUUCUGACGGUACCCAAAGAAUAAGCACCGGCUAACUUCGUG
rnacentral:rRNA from 1 species